AUGGUUGUCACCCUGUGGUCCAUAUGGUUUGCUAGAAGCAAGGCAAUCUAUGAGUCCAUCUUCCAAAGUCCACAGCAAACAAUCUCCUUUAUAAACAAUUUUAUAGCAGAAUUGUCACAGUUAACAGCGAGCCAUUCUCGCCGAGGUCCAGCCCAUGCUGCACCAGCACCAGAAAAGAGAUGGCUACCGCCACCAGCGGGGACUGUGAAGCUUAAUGCAGAUGGAGUAGUCGCCAGGUCCCGCCGUGGGGGAGCAGUCGCGGCGAUUUGCCGUGACCAAACUGGUAAUUAUCUGGGUUCUUCGGUGGUAGUCUUCCAAGGUAUAGAUGAUCCACUUAUCUUGGAAACAUAUUCUUGCCGAGAAGCAUUAUCACUCGCAUACAAUCUUGGAGAACCAAAUAUUAGCCAAGGAGUGGUGAACGACGUCAACAACGGGACAGGAGGUCCAGUGCUGCUAUAG
rnacentral:rRNA from 1 species